AUAUGAAUGAACCACAGGGGGUUUUCUGUAAAACUGGCAAACUCUGGAAAAUUAGGCAAAAUCGUCCAGGGAAAUAAAAACGUCCACGGGCUGAAACUUGUAUCGAGCUGGGCUGCUCAUCACGGCACUUGGGCCGGCUCGGUGGGGAAACUGGGCCUGCUGGCGCGGCACAGGGGAGCUGCUGGGCCGGCUCGCGCAGGGCCUUGGCAGGCUGAGGUCAACGCGCGCGGUCCCCUCGCUCGCUCGACCUGGAGCAGGGGAGGCAGAUGCCAGCGACGCAAGCAGGGUCGGUCUCCGGCCUGUGCCCACCGGAUCCGGCGACGACGGGCGCGGGGACGAUGAGCUGGGCACGGGGAGACAGAGCCGGGAACGGGACGGACGCCGGGGUGCGGAUCGGGCGGCGGCGAGGAUUAACUCCGACGAGUUGUUGCGCAGAGAAGGCGGCGGUUUGCAGGGAACUCCCAUGGCGGCUUGGUGCAGUUCGGGCGCAGAGGAGCGGCGGUGCUGGUGGCCUACUCCGGCGAGCAGGGACUCCGGGGAGCAAUCUGAGGCGACGGCAGGGUCGCGAGCGCCCUCUCCUGCUCGACUGAAGUAGAGCAGUGACGGCGACAGCUUGCAGGAGGGUCGCAGGGCACGGCGGUAGCUGCACAUCAAAACGGGAGAGAGAGAGAGGGAGGGAGAUGAGCACAGGCAGCAGGGGAAGGAAGAAAGAAGGUACGGGAGAAGAGGCGUGGGGCUGGCUCCGGUGCUGCUGCUGGAGAGGAGCGACGGGAAGAGAAGCUCGGGCUCCUGCAGGAUUUGGGCGGCGAUGGUGGUUGGACAGGAGGGGAAAACGAGGAGAAGGUGGAGGCUGUGAGGGGAUUGGGGCGCUGGAUGGAUGGAUCGGGAGGAGGUGGGAUGGUGUGGUGCUGAAUACGA
rnacentral:rRNA from 1 species